rnacentral:sRNA from 1 species
GGAACAGGCUAUGACCUAAUGCUUGCUUGGACAAGUAUAAGCAUGCCAGGGCAAAUAUUUAGGCUAAACUGUGGGAGCUAAGAACAUAAAGUACCUUGAUUUCUUUAUUAUGGCUAGCAGAUAUCUAAGCAUGUUAGCACAGGUUCUUGAAUAAAUUUUGCUUCUAAGAGAAGUUACUAUUCCUAAUUAGAUGGGGAGUAAGGUCUCUUUGAAGAGGAACCUCUACUUUACUUUUUACACUUGUGCUUUGAUAAUUUUUUACUUGGAAACCUCAUCUUUUGGCUUUUUUUUUUUUGAGUUAUUUCUCUAGUGUUGCUAUUUGAUUUAAUUUCUGACCUUCAUUUUUGUUUCCCAACCUUUUUUUUUUGUUUGAUAUGAGGGGUUCCGUGACUGAGGUUCUGAGCUGCUGUUGAUGUGCUAUACCUCCUUCAAUUCUCAGCUCUCAAAGGGGAAAACAACUGCAGAGGAUGGGAAAUGCUAUACUGCCACGCCUGGAAACACCCACAGGAAAAUUACCAGUUUUGAGCUUGCUCAACUGCAAGAAAAACUGAAGGAGACAGAAGCAGCCAUGGAAAAAUUAAUCAACAGAGUGGGACCUAAUGGGGAGAGGAUAAGGGCUUCUGAUUUUCCAUGACUUAGGAAACAGAAUUAAGACUGUUUCAUUCAUUGAAGAUCCGAAUGCCCUGUGUACAGUCUGGAAAAGUAACAUGUGCUGCCUGAAGAGACAAGAGUUUGUGAUAGGCAGAGCACAGACUGUGACUUCUGACCAAGAGAAACGAUUGCUACAUCAGCUCCGAGAAAUCACCAGGGUCAUGAAAGAAGGAAAAUUCAUUGACAGAUUUUCUCCAGAGAAAGAAGCUGAGGAGGCCCCUUACAUGGAGGACUGGGAAGGUUACCCUGAAGAGACUUACCCAAUUUAUGACCUUUCAGACUGUAUCAAGCAUAGGCAAGAAACAAUCUUGGUGGAUUACCCUGACCCAAAAGAACUUUCUGCUGAAGAAAUAGCUGAAAGAGUGGGAAUGAUAGAAGAGGAAGAAUCAGAUCAUUUGGGUUGGGAAAGUCUGCCCACUGACCCCAGAGCCCAGGAAGAUAAUUCUGUUACCUCGUGUGAUCCAAAGCCAGAAACAUGUUCCUGCUGUUUUCAUGAAGACGAGGAUCCUGCUGUCUUGGCAGAGAAUGCUGGAUUCAGUGCAGAUAGCUACCCUGAGCAAGAGGAAACCACCAAAGAAGAGUGGUCCCAAGACUUUAAAGAUGAAGGGUUGGGCAUCAGCACCGAUAAAGCAUAUACAGGCAGCAUGCUGAGGAAGCGUAACCUCCAGGGUUUAGAGUGAAAAAAGCCAGUCUGAAGUAUCCAUUACUCAAGUCCCAAGGUGACCUCUCUCUCCUCAGAUUUCCUUCUUGGCCCUGUGCCCUGCAUUUUCUUCACUGUGUUCAAGUGUCAUAGCUAUCAGGUCACUAUCAUGGAUAUCAUGUAUCCUUCCUGGUGCUCACACACCUGUCACCUUGUAAAACACAGACAUUAGUGUGAACACAGGACAGCUUCGCUCUUUCUCUUCCUG